rnacentral:rRNA from 1 species
AUUGAACGCUAGCGGGAUGCUUUACACAUGCAAGUAGAACGAGUGGCGGACGGGUGAGUAAUAUAUCGGAAUGUGCCCACUAGCGGGGGAUAACUACUCGCAAGAGUGGCUAAUACCGCAUACUAUUAGAGCGGCCCAUAUCGGAUUAGCUAGUUGGUGGGGUAAAGGCUCACCAAGGCAACGCUCCGUAGCUGGUUUGAGAGGACGACCGGCCAAACUGGGACUGAGACACGGCCCAGACUCCUACGGGAGGCAGCAGUGGGGAAUUUUGGACAAUGGGGGAAACCCUGAGCCAGCCAUGCCGCGUGUAUGAGAAGGCCUUCGGGUUGUAAAGUACUUUUGGCAGGGAAGCGGUAUCUGCAGAAUAAGCACCGGCUAAAUACGUGCCAGCAGCCGCGGUAAUAC